UACGUAGGGGGCGAGCGUUGUCCGGAUUUAUUGGGCGUAAAGAGCUCGUAGGCGGUUUGGUAAGUCGGGUGUGAAAUCUCCACGCUCAACGUGGAGGGGCCACUCGAUACUGCCAUGACUCGAGUCCGGUAGAGGAGUGUGGAAUUCCCGGUGUAGCGGUGAAAUGCGCAGCUAUCGGGAGGAACACCCGUAGCGAAGGCGGCACUCUGGGCCGGAACUGACGCUGAGGAGCGAAAGCAUGGGGAGCGAACAGG
rnacentral:rRNA from 1 species